GAUGAACGCUGACAGAAUGCUUAACACAUCAGCAAUUGACUGGUGGCGGACGGGUGAGUAACGCGUAAAGAACUUGCCUCACAGGUAGGGACAACAUUUGGAAACGAAUGCUACUACCUAAUACUGUGAGAGAGCUUUGCGUCCCAUUAGCUAGUUGGAGAGGUAACGGCUCACCAAGGCGAGGAUGGGUAGCCGGCCUGAGAGGGUGAUCGGGCACAAGGGGACUGGGGCACGGCCCUUACUGCUACGGGAGGCAGGGGUGGGGAAUAUAGGAAGAUGGACCAAAGUCUGAUCAAGCAAUUCUGUGUGUAAGAUAAAGUUUUCGGAAUGAAAAGUGUUUUCAGUUGGGAAGCGGUACCAACAGAAGAAGUGACGGCUAAAUACGUGCCAGCAGCCGCGGUAAUUC
rnacentral:rRNA from 1 species